rnacentral:rRNA from 1 species
UACGUAGGGUGCGAGCGUUGUCCGGAAUUAUUGGGCGUAAAGAGCUUGUAGGCGGUCUGUUGCGUCUGCUGUGAAAAUCCGGGGCUCAACCCCGGACUUGCAGUGGGUACGGGCAGACUAGAGUGUGGUAGGGGAGACUGGAAUUCCUGGUGUAGCGGUGAAAUGCGCAGAUAUCAGGAGGAAUACCGAUGGCGAAGGCAGGUCUCUGGGCCACUACUGACGCUGAGAAGCGAAAGCAUGGGGAGCGAACAGG